UGAAUACGAGACGCUAAGGCGUUGAAGUAGUGUAUGUCAUACUUCCAAGAAAAGCUUGCACUGUCAUAGAUAAAAAACGCCUGUACCAUAACCGACACAUGUGGGUAGGUAGAGUAUACUAAGGGGCGCGAGAUAACUCUCUCUAAGGAACUCGGCAAAAUAACUCCGUAACUUCGGGAGAAGGAGUGCCUUAUUUAUAAGGCUGCAAUAACAAGAUCCAAGCAACUGUUUAUCAAAAACACAGGUCUCCGCUAAGUCGUAAGACGAUGUAUGGGGGCUGACGCCUGCCCAGUGCCAGAAGGUUAAAGAAGUUGGUUAGCAAUAGCGAAGCUGAUAACUGAAGCCCUGGUGAACGGCGGCCGUAACGAUAACGGUCCUAAGGUAGCGAAAUUCCUUGUCGGGUAAGUUCCGACCCGCACGAAAGGCGUAAUGAUUUGGAUACUGUCUCGGAGAGGGGCUCGGUGAAAUAGACUUGUCUGUGAAGAUGCGGACUACCUGCACCAGGACAGAAAGACCCUAUGAAGCUUUACUGUAACUUGAAAUUGAAAUUGGACUUUAUUCGCGCAGUAUACGUGGGAGGCGUUGAUUGUAAUCUUGCGGGAUUAUUGGAGCCAUCAGUGAGAUACCACCCUUGUAAUGUUAGAUUUCUAACUUUGAAUCAUUAUCUGGUCAAAGAACAGUUUCAGGCGGGCAGUUUGACUGGGGCGGUCGCCUCCUAAACGGUAACGGAGGCGUACAAAGGUUUCCUCUGAACGGUUAGAAAUCGUAUCUAGAGUGUAAAGGCAUAAGGAAGCUUGACUGUGAGACCUACAAGUCGAGCAGGGACGAAAGUCGGUCUUAGUGAUCUGACGGUACUGAGUGGAAAGGCCGUCACUCAACGGAUAAAAGUUACUCUAGGGAUAACAGGCUGAUCUCCCCCAAGAGUUCACAUCGACGGGGAGGUUUGGCACCUCGAUGUCGGCUCAUCGCAUCCUGGGGCGGUAGUACGUCCCAAGGGUUGGGCUGUUCGCCCAUGAAAGCGGUACGCGAGCUGGGUUCAGAACGUCGUGAGACAGUUCGGUCCAUAUCCGGUGUAGGCGUUAGAAUAUUGAGAGGAGCCUUCUUUAGUACGAGAGGACCGAGAAGGACAUACCUCUGGUGUACCAGUUAUCGUGCCAACGGUAAACGCUGGGUAGCUAUGUAUGGAGUGGAUAACCGCUGAAAGCAUCUAAGUGGGAAGCCCACCUCAAGAUAAG
rnacentral:rRNA from 1 species